CCCGACGUUAUCGCCGCCGAAGAAGGGCCUCCCCUUGGAGCACUCCCUAAAGGCUGCCUCUAGAGUCUCGACUGCUGCGAACGUAGGUUUCAAGAGCUCCAUCUUCUCCUCCACUGUCUUGCCCCUGGCAGCCUGCACCCAUGAGGCCAACAGCUGCAACAUACAGACAUCGAUCAGCAUAACUGCUUGGACUGAAUUUGAUGGAUGUAAAUUAUUGUAAAUCGUCCAGCUAUAAUAGGUAUACUAACAAGUACUAACCUUGUCGUCGAUGAAGGCUGCCCAGAAACGUGCCCUGGCACGUUCGUAGGGGUCAGCAGGGAUGAGGGAGAGGCCUUUGCCCCUAAAGACUUCAUCGAUAUACUCCACGAUGAUCUGUGACUCGCAGACAGGCUUGCCGUUGUGGAUGAGCACGGGCACCUUCUUGUGCACCGGGUUGGAGCUGAGGAGGAGGUCGCUCUUGUUGCUAAGGUCCUCCUCGAUGUACUCGUAUCUGAGGCCCUUGAAGCUGAGAGCGAGUCUUACUCGCACUCAGCUUACGGGCUUGCCCACAUGCCGAGAAGCUUCAGCUCAUCACCUCCGCUGGCCAUUGUCGCUAGCUAGUUUGUGUUUUGCUCCUCUCUUGAGAAUGGAGCAAAAGGAGAACAAUAUACCUGUGAAGUAGUGAUUGUGUCGCCAUGAGUUAGGUCGGUAUGGAACCGUCAAUGCAUCAUCCGUGACGCUUGCAAUGCAUUUGCUGAUAUAAUAUUCCCCAAUGGCUUUAAUAAUUGUUCCUGUGUCUGUGUGGAUCAGAUGCUGUGUCAAGAGAACAAUCAGUGGACCACCUAAUUAACUAGAGAACUCUCGCAAAGGUUUACUAUUAGAGCGUAGCCGCUUGACAGCUUGGGUGACCUAGAGGAACGAGCUCAGCUCACACAACAGAAAGUUACAAUGAUCCUGCCGACACAUAUAUCUUUCGUCCGGUAUUGGACUGGAAGCAUCUCUACAGGCAUGGAUUCAUCACAGGCAGAGUAAAGUUAGAAAUUUUGAUUGCAGUGGGGGCUUAAAUUUACCCUUGAAUUUUUACACGUAUGUUUCGUACGUAAUAUUGCUACCCCGGGCUCAUAAACUAUUGCUGAAAAGAAAGUUCAGGAUGGCAAGAUCGAAUACAUUAUACUUGCGACACUACUGACACAUACAAACCAAAACGUAGAAAACAAAGCCCAUCCUCGCUCUUUAUUUCUGAUCUGCCAGUAACACAGACGACAAUAACGACAUUGGGUAGCCUGAAUUUUGCAGAUCUCCAUAUCUUCCUCAGACACAAAUGUCGGUAAAACAAAUUUUUAGUUGUUCGACGAGGCUUCAGCUGCAGCCUGAUCGGCCUGCCUUUUCUUGGCGUACUCGACCAGUCUGUCGACGUCCGCCAGGGCCGCCUUGGCCACGUCGAGCGCGCCGAACUGCUCCAGCCACGCGUUCAGGAGUGGGCUCCUUGUGGCGUCAAAGAGCCUCAUUCCAUAUAUCUUCUCGGCGGCGUGGAUCCACGACACCAAGGCCCCGAGGGUGACGUCCAAGUAGCCGACGGUGUCGCCGCCGAAGAAGGGCUUGCCCUUGGAGAUCUCCUUGAAGGCCCCCUCCAUGUUUUCAACCGCAACGAGGGUCUGCUUCAGCCCCUCCGCCUUUUCCUCCUCUGUCUUUCCUUUGGCCGACUGUAAAAACGAGGCCAGAAGCUGCAACGUGCACAGGUAUCAUUGGUUUUUUAGGACGUCAUCACUCGAAACCGAUGAGUGCAAAUGCAAGAAGACAAAUCAUCGCCCAAUCUGGGGGUCUGAAGUAGUUGCGGAGACAGGAGAGUAGUACCUUGUCGUCAAUGUAGGCACCCCAGAAGCGAGCAAUGGCGCGUUCGUAGGGGUCGCUCGGGAGGAGAAGGGGACCGGUGCCGGCGAAGGCCUCAUCGAUGUACUGCACGAUGAUCUGCGACUCGCAGACGGGCUUGCCGUUGUGGAGGAGCACGGGCACCUUCUUGUGCACCGGGUUGGACUUGAGGAGCAGCUCGCUCUUGCCGCCGAAGAGGUCCUCCUCGACGUCCUCGUAGCUCAGGCCCUUGAAGCCGAGCGCGAGCUUCACCCGCAUAACGAAUGGGCUCGCCCACAUGCCCAGCAGCUUCAGCUCAUCACUUCCUCCGGCCAUUUUCAGUACUGUUGUUUUCAGCUCGUUUCAGCUUGUGUGCUAUUGUCCUCCUGAGUCUUGAGCUGACCAAGAGAUAGAGGACUGCAUAUUUAUACUGCUUAGGUGUCUGGGUAUAUGGAUCUCAUCAACGCAUCAUCCAUGAUGCUUGCAAACCAAGCCCGAGGAUAGGAUUUUCUGCAGCCACUUCAUUUAGUGGCACGGUGUCAUAGUGAAAUGGCUCUUGGGUCAUAGAAGCAGCACAAGUGCGGAAACGUGACCUCUCAAGCUAGUUUUUCCACAUCCAACAGCAUACAGGAGCAGAGCUAGCGCAGCAAAUCCUCGAGCUGAUAUGAUAUAUACAGUCCAUAGUUUAAUUGUUGAUUUUUGGGUUGUUGCAGCGGAGUACUAUACAAUGCUGUAGGAGUACUAUAUACAAUGCUGGAAGUCCGGAACUCUGAGGUGUGGAGAUUUGUUCAACUUUUCUUGGAGAAGAAACCACCACUACUAGAAAAACAAGAAUUCCUGCCGGCCACAUUUUGAUCCGGUAAUUAAUACGGAUAUCUUUCGGUACCAUUUGGUGCCAACCGGUAUUAAACACCAACUGUACUAAAAGGUAGGCUUUAGUAGCACCACCCGGUACUAAUGUAAUAAAAGGUAGGCAUUAGUACCGAGUGGUAUUAUCACCCAAUACUAAAAGCUUCUCCACGGGUUACUUCAAAAGGAAAGUAUCUGCCGUCACAUAUGUUGUGUAGGUGAGAUGGCAAGGAAGCCUCAAGCGAGGCUUGAGGUCUCGAGUUUGAAUUCCAUACACCGUGCACUCGCAUAUUUCGCGUAAAAAUCACGGGUGUCCGAGCCUCCCGGGGCACUCACAUAUCUUUUUAAUUUUUUCAGGUGCAAAACCAUUUAUUAGCGGUUGAUGUUACCACCCUUAAUACUACCGGUUGCAAAACUGCGAACUGAAGUUCAUUUCUUCCUUCAGUAGUGCAAAGUAAACGGCUCAUGUCACUGUGGGGACUCACAAGCCAUUCAUAUCCAUUGGUUAGUUUAGACACGUCCAUGUGCUGGGCCAAGCCGUGACAAAUUUCCUUGGAGUAGAAGCUUAGAAAAUGCUAAAAUAAACGAUAGCGCCACCCCUCCUUUUGUUUUUUGACCGUUUUAGAAACAUACGUACGGUAGUGAAAGCUCCUACAUUCUGAGAGAGAAGUUUCUAUCUGAUGAGGAUAUAACUUGCCAGAUAAUUGAAAACUUUGCUGGUUCAGACAUUUUAAGAGAAAAGCAAACCACAUAGAAUUUAUUUUUUUUAUUACACAGAGGUAUCAUUAUCUUUCUCUGACCUAGUGGCCGCCUCAACACCGAGACUUUUCUUUCAGUUGUUUACAACGGCUGCUGCAACCUCGGCCUCCCUCACCUUGGCGUGCUCUACUAGCCUGUCGAUGUCCGGCAUGACCGCCACGACCUCCUCCAGCUUGCCGAAGCGCUCCACCCAUUUCUCCAGGAGCGGGCUCCUGAAGGCAUCGAAGAGCCUGAUACCAUGACGCACCUCAGCGGUGCGCAUCCACGCUACCAGCGCGCCGAGGACGAUGUCCAAGUAGCCGACGCUAUCGCCGCCGAAGAAGGGCUUCCCCUUGGAGCACUCCUUGAAUGCCCCUUCCAAGGUUUCUACGGCCGCAAAUGUCUCUUUCACCCCCUCCGCCUUCUCCUCCUCCGUCUUGCCCCUGCCUGCCUUCAACCACGAGACCAAGAACUGCAACACACGCACAUGGAUCAUCAUACUGCGGAUAUCAUUAUUGAUGCGAUGCCAACUGCAAAUACAGGAUGAUUUAGCCUUUGGGGGUACUGACCUUGUCGUCAAUGAAGGCGGCCCAAAAGCGCGCCAUGGCACGCUCGUAGGGGUCGACGGGGAGGAAGGAGGGGCCUGUGGCGCUAUAGACUUCGUCGAGAUACUGCACGAUGAUCUGUGACUCACAGACAGGCUUGCCGUUGUGGAUGAGCACGGGCACCUUCUUGUGCACCGGGUUGGACUCGAGCAGGAGGUCGCUCUUGUUGCGUAGGUUCUCCUCGACAUACUGGUAGCUGAGGCCCUUAAAGCCGAGUGCGAGCUUCACCCGUAGGGCGAACGGGCUCGCCCACAUCCCGAGCAGCUUCAGCUCAUCACCUCCUCCGGCCAUUCUCUGCUUUGUGUUUGAACAAUCUCUUGGCUUCUCUGUCUGCUUUGCUCUCUUGAUUGAGAGCAAGAAGACUAUAUACUUGUGAUUGUGCUUGAUUGUGAUGCCAGUUCAGUUAGAUAAGUAGUAAGGACUAAGGAACCGUCAACGCAUCAUCCGUGACGCUUGCAAUCAAUUUGAUGGUGGAUUAUUCCACGUGCACUUAAUUAAAGUAGCUGCGUAUAGGUCACAUGCUUGUCCGGAUAUGCAAUCAACCACUCAUUUCAAUCUCCUACUUCUCGUGGUAGUAUGUGAACGUAACAAACAGUGGAGUUGACCAUUUUUACAAUGCUCUGUGCAUUGGUCCAUCAAAUUCGGAUUGUGAUUGUACUACUUGCAUCUUUUCUUUUUAUUGAGGCACUAAGCAUAUGAACUGAUGCGGCUCUGCUCAACCAAUUAACAAAAAGGAGAAUAUACAAAUCAUCAACAACUGACGGUUUUCUACCUGGUUAUGGAAUUAGCUAUGGGCUAGUCAAUCAACCCGUUUCGUACGGGCUAAUAACUUUGAGAAACAGAAUUAUAAGAUAUUUACUAAAAAAUAGGACCCAUAGCUUUGUUUACUUUGAUGAUCUCUCUCAUUUAUUAAAUACUUUAGCACAAUACUCAUAUAGAUACGUACUAAUUCAUAUAUAGUUGCAAUAUAUUUUAGUUAAUAAUUACUCAAUCUAUGCACUCUUUUCAUCCACAUUUAUAUUUUUUUUCAAAUUGCAUUGCACAACCAUAUUUGUUUGAUAUGGUUUGAGUUUAAUUGAACCCUUACUUUGAGCUGUGUACAAAUUAACGUGAAAAUUGGUAUAUUCCAAUCCCUUCCUCUGCACGUAUACAUGGUCUACACGGUGGUACAUAUCAUACAUCUCGUUUGGCAUAUAUUUUGUAGUGACACAUGUAGGUAAUUUAAAUUUAGAUUUAGGUAAUACAUUAAGUUAUUUUUAAUAAUAGCAUCUAUGAGUAAUUUAGAUCCAAAAUCAGGAGAGUAUUUUAAGCUAUUUUUAUAAUGGUUAGAUGCGUAAGUUUUAGAUUAAGAUCAGGGGUUACUUUACGAUAUUUUUAAAAUUUCAGAGAUGGAUAAUUUAGAUAUAAAUUUAAACUAGGGGUUACUUUUUUCACAACUGUAGAGAGGUGGGUAAAUUUUAGAUAUAAUAGAUCUAAUGGACUAUGAUGAUAGACCCUAGCGGAUUGAUGGCCGGAUGUUUAUGAUUGUUUUGAGAAUUUCUAUAAUUAUUUUCUGACACGUCUCAUGAUGAUUAAUAUGGAGACUAAAAAAAAAUUAAUUGGUAAUAGUAAGAUGGCCACAUUGGCAUCUAAACAUCAUGGCAACAAAUAACACAGGAAUGGAGGACCCUGGAAUAUGUUUUUUUUUCAUUUCUUUGGUAAUACGGUUGUUUCUUGAAAUUCUUUUAUUUGUCCAAAGAUUUGAAGUAAUACGUAACUAAAUUAGAGUGGUUUGGUUCUCAACUGGAAUCAAUAGCUAGAGAGGGGGGGAGAGAGCGCACACUUCCAUGUUGUGAUAUUCUUUUAUCAGGAGACAAAGGAUCUUCCUUUUAAAACAUGGAUUGGUCAAACUCUCUGCUUUUUAGAGGUGCGCACCUUAGGGGGUGUUUGGAUGCUAGGGGCUAAACUUUAGCAGUGUCACAUCGGAUGUUCGGAUGCUAAUUAUAAGGAUUAAACAUGAGCUAAUUAUAAAACUAAUUGCAGAACCCCUAGGCUAAUUCGCGAGACGAAUCUAUUGAGCCUAAUUAAUCUAUCAUUAGCAAAUGGUUACUGUAGCACCACAUUGUCAAAUCAUGGACUAAUUAGGCUUAAUAGAUUCGUCUCGCGAAUUAGACUCUAUCUGUGCAAUUAGUUUUGUAAUUACCCUAUAUUUAAUACUUCUAAUUAGUAUCCAAACAUCCGAUGUGACAGGUGUUAAAUUUUACCGGGUGCCAAACACCCUCUUAGCUGAUCAGUUGCACAGUAAAAAAAGAGCAGCAGCCGAAGCACAUAUCCUUAACAAAGUUGAACGCUCUCUUGUUUAUUCACAAUUAUGUUCCUGUUUCCUGCUAGGCUGCUGCAACGCCUAUAGCUGCUGCUGGGUGGCUGCUGCAGCUGCAGCCACAGCCAGAGCUGGUGCAGGAUGGAAGAUAAGGUAUUCAGACUUGGCGAGGUCGCGGUGCAGUGAAGGGGACAACGGACAAGUUAUUAUGGUAUGCACUGCCGAACUGGUUGGCCAGAUCGUGCUGUUGCGUACCGCAACGCUUUCCUAUUUUCCAGCACUGUUGUGUGGAUACUGAAGUAUAUGAGUUUCCCAUAGUGGGAAGAUGACCUGCAUGAACACAACGAACCCACAAAUUGCGAAACACAAACCGCAUGUCUCAUUCCCAAUGGCCAAUGCCAACUGCCAAACCGCGCCGUACAAUGCAAGAAUGCGAUGUGAAAGUGAAACAAAGCCCAUCUUCUUUAUUUCUAAAUCACUUGCACAGAGAGCAAACUGUUCUAUUAUUUUUCAGGGAUAGAAUAUCCGAUCGAAUCUUUCUCUGUCUCAAUUACGAUUACCGCAGAGCCAAUCUAGUUGUUUGAGGCAGCGGCUGCCGCGUCGGCCUGCCUCAUCUUGGCGUAAUCGACCAGUCUGUCUGCUUCCGGCAGGACCGCCUUGGCCGCGUCGAGCGCGCCGAACCGCUCCACCCACGCGUUCAGGAGCGGGCUCCUUGUGGCGUCAAAGAGCCUGAAACCAUAGAGCUUCUCGCCGGCGUGCACCCACGCGACAAGGGCCCCCAGCGUGACGUCCAGGUACCCGACGCUGUCGCCUCCGAAGAAGGGCUUGCCCUUGGAGAACUCCUUGAAGGCCGCCUCCAUGUGCUCCACCGCCGCAAGCGUCUGCUUCAGCCCCUCCGCCUUCUCCUCCUCCGUCUUGCCCCUGAACGAUUGCAGCCACGAGGCCAAGAGCUGCAACGCAGAUAUCCAUCACAACUGGGAAGUGAAAUGCAUGCAGAUAGCUGGCACACAAAGAGGACAGCCCGCUGUUGUACCUUGUCGUCGACGUAGGCAGCCCAGAAGCGAGCAAUGGCGCGUUCAUAUGGGUCAGCAGGAAGCAGGGAGGGGCCAGUGCCAACGAAGGCCUCGUCGAUGUACUGCACGAUAAUCUGCGACUCACAGAUAGGCUUGCCGUUGUGGAUGAGCACGGGCACCUUCUCGUGCACCGGGUUGGAGCUGAGGAGGAGGUCGCUCUUGUUGC
rnacentral:lncRNA from 1 species